rnacentral:lncRNA from 1 species
UCUAUUAGCAAAUGGAUUAGCGUUAGCGUAUAUUUACUUUAGAUACCUACACGAUACGCACUUGAUUGUGAUAUUGUAUUUACUUUUUUUACAAGGGAAAUAGAGUCAAUGGACCUCUAGAUACGAAAAAACCGGGGAGUGCUACCAUUUGACGGGGUGCGUUUUUGAGAAAGGGGUGAAUUAGUCCCUAGGCACAGGGCGAAUUAGGAUCCAGAAUACGACGAUGAGGUAGACGUUAACUAGAAAUAUCCUGACGCUCCUUUUCUUUUUGUUUGCACCAAUGAUCCAGUAGCAACUGCAGCUUUUAAAUGGUUUUCUAUGAACGGAGCAACUUUUUUCGCAUCUACUUGUUCACCAUUUCAGACGUGUUGGCAGAUAGGAAGGUUUUGACCAUGGAUUUUUUUGCCUUUUUUUGCCAGAUGUAGACGUAGCCGAAGUGGCUGAUGAUUGGUUUCCUAUAUUAUAUGUUAUGUCAUUGGGAGUUAUAACAAUUUUUAAGUUAAUAUGCGGUAAGUAGUGAUUCACUGACUGGAGAGUGAAAACGUAUCAAAAUAUUUUAUUUACUAUGAAAUAAGUAGUAAUUUAGGUUAGAAAUAAGUUGCUCAUUGAUCAUAUUA